AUGCGAUAAGUAAUGUGAAUUGCAGAAUUCAGUGAAUCAUCGAAUCUUUGAACGCACCUUGCGCUCCUUGGCAUUCCGAGGAGCAUGCCUGUUUGAGUGUCGUUGAAUUCUCAUCCCCGUCAUCGCUACAUUGUAUGUAGCACUGCGGGCGUGGAUUGGUGGAGGUCUUGCAGGUGGGGAAUUAAUUCCCUCUGCUCCUCUGAAAUGCAUUGUUGGCGUGCGCACCGAAUCCAGGCCAUUGGUCUGGAUCGCGUGGGCAGCUGAAGUGGCGAACCCCCGUCGUCGGUAUGAUAUAUUAAUGCGUCUUACCAACGUCGGACGGUUGUCGUGCUACUCAGAUAUUUGACCUCAAAUCAGGCAGGACUACCCGCUGAACUUAA
rnacentral:misc_RNA from 1 species